AGUGAACGCUGGCGGUAGGCCUAACACAUGCAAGUCGAACGGCAGCACAGUAAGAGCUUGCUCUUACGGGUGGCGAGUGGCGGACGGGUGAGGAAUACAUCGGAAUCUACUUUUUCGUGGGGGAUAACGUAGGGAAACUUACGCUAAUACCGCAUACGACCUACGGGUGAAAGCAGGGGAUCUUCGGACCUUUCGCGAUUGAAUGAGCCGAUGUCGGAUUAGCUAGUUGGCGGGGUAAAGGCCCACCAAGGCGACGAUCCGUAGCUGGUCUGAGAGGAUGAUCAGCCACACUGGAACUGAGACACGGUCCAGACUCCUACGGGAGGCAGCAGUGGGGAAUAUUGGACAAUGGGCGCAAGCCUGAUCCAGCCAUACCGCGUGGGUGAAGAAGGCCUUCGGGUUGUAAAGCCCUUUUGUUGGGAAAGAAAAGCAGCAGGUUAAUACCCCGCUGUUCUGACGGUAACCAAAGAAUAAGCACCGGCUAACUUCGUG
rnacentral:rRNA from 1 species